rnacentral:rRNA from 1 species
GACGAACGCUGGCGGCGUGCCUAAUACAUGCAAGUCGAACGCUUCUUUCCUCCCGAGUGCUUGCACUCAAUUGGAAAGAGGAGUGGCGGACGGGUGAGUAACACGUGGGUAACCUACCCAUCAGAGGGGGAUAACACUUGGAAACAGGUGCUAAUACCGCAUAACAGUUUAUGCCGCAUGGCAUAAGAGUGAAAGGCGCUUUCGGGUGUCGUUGAUGGAUGGACCCGCGGUGCAUUAGCUAGUUGGUGAGGUAACGGCUCACCAAGGCCACGAUGCAUAGCCGACCUGAGAGGGUGAUCGGCCACACUGGGACUGAGACACGGCCCAGACUCCUACGGGAGGCAGCAGUAGGGAAUCUUCGGCAAUGGACGAAAGUCUGACCGAGCAACGCCGCGUGAGUGAAGAAGGUUUUCGGAUCGUAAAACUCUGUUGUUAGAGAAGAACAAGGACGUUAGUAACCGAACGUCCCCUGACGGUAUCUAACCAGAAAGCCACGGCUAACUACGUG